rnacentral:rRNA from 1 species
UCUGUUGAUCUGUAGCUGGCCAAGCUUUGGCAAUGUGCACGAUUUCAACCUUUUACAAACACACACACACUUGUGCAUUCUUUGUAGAUUCUUGUGAGAGGAUCUAUGUAAUUUUAUUUUACAACUUUACUCUGCAUGGCAUGAUGUUGGUUUUAUAUACACAUGAUAUACAACUUUCAGCAAUGGAUCUCUUGGCUCUCGCAUCGAUGAAGAACGCAGCGAAUUGCGAUAAGUAAUGUGAAUUGCAGAUUUUCAGUGAAUCAUCGAAUCUUUGAACGCACCUUGCGCUCCUUGGUAUUCCAAGGAGCAUACCUGUUUGAGUGUCAUUUGAAUUCUCAAGCCAAGGAUUUCUUUUCUUUGGUAUUGGAAUUGGGAGUUGCAGGCGGGGCUGAAGGGUCCGUCAGCUCUUCUGAAAUGUAUAUUAUAUAUUAGCCCGUGCACGGCUCGAGUUGGAUGUGAUAAUGAUCAUCAUCAUCAUCCCCCCUUGGGCUGGAGCGAGCGGGUGCUGUGCGCGCAGAGGGGGGGUACUGGUACUUAGUACUAGUACCUAGUACUUGGUGCGCAUUUCUUAUGAAUUGACCUCAGAUCAGGUAGGACUACCCGCUGAACUUAAGCAUAUCA